AAUGGAGGAAACUCUGAUGCAGCGAUGCCGCGUGAGUGAAGAAGGCCCUUGGGUUGUAAAGCUCUUUCGUCGGGGAAGAAAAUGACUGUACCCGAAUAAGAAGGUCCGGCUAACUUCGUGCCAGCAGCCGCGGUAAUACGAAGGGACCUAGCGUAGUUCGGAAUUACUGGGCUUAAAGAGUUCGUAGGUGGUUGAAAAAGUUGGUGGUGAAAUCCCAGAGCUUAACUCUGGAACUGCCAUCAAAACUUUUCAGCUAGAGUUUGAUAGAGGAAAGCAGAAUUUCUAGCGUAGAGGUGAAAUUCGUAGAUAUUAGAAAGAAUACCAAUUGCGAAGGCAGCUUUCUGGAUCAUUACUGACACUGAGGAACGAAAGCAUGGGUAGCGAAGAGGAUU
rnacentral:rRNA from 1 species